CUGGAAACCGUAGGCUGAGUUGGAGAAGACACAAGAACAAAGAUUGAACCCAUGCAUUUUCACUUAAGAGAAGAACUACCCCGGAAAAAUAUAGUGCAUUUACUUCCAAGAACCACAGCUCCAGGGGGCCCAGUGUUUGCAGCAGAAGCUAGAACAAGACUGCUUGUAAAGAAUAGACUCCCAGGUUUUUCAAUAAUAGAAACAAUUGUCAAGUCACAAUAUAAACAGCUGACAAUCUAUGGAAAAUGGAUAAGAAGAAGGAGUAACCUUAGGAGAGUUCAAAAUUGAUACCAG